UGCACACCUUUGUUAGGCGAAACGCCCGUCCCGUUGACCGCGGCUACGUUCGGCGACUGAUUGAUAGUCGCCUUGAGCCCAAGUUUAUUAUCACAAAUCGCAAACAAGUACAAUUGGGCAGGAUGACGGCAAAUUGUUUAAUUACGACUGUAAACUUUAAUUACGAUUUUACGGAUUUUCCCGAAUUUCCAGAGGGACGGCUCCGGUGUCCUUUCAUCUCCGACACGUAUAUCCAGUGCAAUGGUAGAGAAUCGAAGUCAACGAUAGUAAAAGUUUGAACGGUGAAAACGAUUGUGUUGAUCGACACGAAAAAAGGUACGAAAGGCAAAUCAUUCUGUUUUGAAAGCAAAGUCAAUCGCGCUUGGCAGCUAACCGGCUCGCGUGGGUGUUAAUUACUCUGUUAAAACCGACUCGCGUUAGUGGGUGUAUUACACGAGAUCGUGAACAUGAAACAUAGACGGAUAUGAACGAGUAUCGGUUGGCUAACUUAUACUACGCGUAAGGUACGCUGAUAGAUACAGUUUUCGUGAUUUUUUCCCAAGUUGAUACGAAACCUCCCGCGUCUCUCGAUUCAACCUGUCGGCUAUAUACCGAGUAAUAUGUACAUAGUUUCAAGCGGCCGUCACCCGUGGUACAUGUUGCAAAACGGAAAUCUACGUCGAUUCGAUCGUAAAUCUUUCGCGAAUAUGAAAUCUCCGUACGUUUGUUUAUGGUUUGACGUGGAGAUCUACUGCUAUAUGUAACGUGACCUGCACACGCUACUGUGCGGUUAAUCAUGUAUUUGCAGAGUGCAAUAAAGAUUUGUUACACUGGCUUCGACGAAAUCGUACCACGAUCUGCAAAUAACAUCUUAAUUCAAACGAUCAGUACAGCGACAUAAAGAUAAACGAAAUUUCCGAUAAUAACAGACAACCGAAAAGAAAAACAGUCCGUCGAUAGAACAAUUAAUUAAAUCCACACGCUACCCAGGCUGUUGUUGAAGCGGACACUUAUUAACUGCAAACUACGCUCGUCGUAAAAUCUGCAUAAUAACACGGUAGAUUUAAAUGCCCCUUCGUUGAAGCGCGGUUUGCCUUCGAACUUGCAACAUUAACAGUGGUUUUAAACGACGACAGUUUGUCAACGAAAUUGUUAAUAUCGAAAAAUCAGACAGAUUACGUGAGUUAUACGGAUUCGUGGUGGAGAUCUAUCCGUUUAGAGGCUGGCACAAUUUCCUACCGGCAACAAACGAGAACGCUAUUGAUUUCUAGAGGAGCAGAGCACGAGACGAGAUAGCCUCCGGUGUGCAUCCUACCGUACGACCCAACCAACCUGCAGGCUGGCUACCGUACGGGGAUGAUUCACGGUCAAGGACGUCGUAGCAACCCCUCCAGCUUUUCUCUGGCGCAACCCUCGCCUUCAUCCACCAACGCCGGGUAAUCCCUGUGUAACGCUUCACGGUACGGUUAACAACUCUAUCCUCUUGCCUCUGUGCUAUCGCCGCUUCCAUCUUCUCGAAACUCCACCUCUUUCGCGUACGUACGCCGGUAACGCGUAUAUACGCACCGUACGAAUCGAGAGAUCUGAAUUUAUAAAUUGAGAUAAUAAAAUGAUGAAAAAUAUAUAUAUGGAAAUACAGGUUUUUAUAUCGCGGUGAAUUUACAAAAGUAUAUUUAAAGUUUUAUCUGUUCGUAGUUUUAUCGAAGUUUCGUUUUGAUAGAAAGGAAGGAAACAAAAUGUACGUGUCGCAGCUGAGAAAGGUGGAUUAGCAUAACGGUGAACGUUGACGUUGCCUCGAACGAGAAGAAACGAGAAUUUAUGCCACGUUUCCAGCACAGAUUCACGAGGACAAUAAUUCGACGGCACGGCGAGUCCAAAGACGGGUCCAUUCGCUCGAGGACACAGAAAUCGAGAGAGAAAUAGGCAGCACUUUACGCAAGCCAGUACUUUCCACAUAAUUCUCGUCGGAGAUCGACCAGGGACAACCGGAGGAUAAUAUAUCGUCAAAAGGGAUUGGUCGUAUGUUAACCAGCGUUACACCUGCGAGCCGAUGAAGAAACUCCAUGGCCAGCCACCUACGCGCGCUGCCUCGUCCGGGUCUUUUACCAUCUGACCGACGAAUUAGGUAGAUAAAGAUUCACACGGGCUUCGCUGUAUGCUUCUACCUGUUUCCCCGACUCGUUCUUCUGCUUGUUUCGUUUAUAACUUUAGAUAAACUGUUGUCAUCAUCGCUGUAUCAGAUUGCGUUUUGCAUUUUACCAAGUUGAUAUUUAGAAUUUUUUAUUACUGUAAACGUAAAUGUUCGUGUAAAUAUCCGUGUAUUUGGUUAUUUAAUUAUAACUAUGUACCAUGUUUAUACAAACGAAGACCACAGAGGAAGAACAUAAUAAACUAUAUUUUCCAUUCUUUAAAGGCUAACAGGUUUAAAAGUCAGUACGUUAUCAUAAUUGUUCUUGGUAUGUAAUUUUCAGACUAAAUAUAUAUUUCAGCAUCCUCUUCGUAAUUUAACAAAUAUUGCUUGUCAUAACGUGAAAACAUUGAAAGAUAUUCAAACAUUGAAAGUAUUAAAACACCAAAAAGUAUUGUUUAUCUCAACAAUUGUAUCCUUGAUCGAACAUAGCUUCUUUCCAGUUUUAACUAUUUUAUAUGAAAAUAUUCUUGUUUAGCCGUAAAGUGAUAUCAAAAUAAAAAGGUCAACAAAACUGUAUUUAUCAUGCUCUUUUCCUACGAUCUUCAAAUGUUUGCUAUCGAAUACGCGUAUUUAUAUUUAUAGAUACCGUGUAGGAAAUCGUUCGUGCAAACACCGUGCACCACCUCUAACCUAAAUUUCGUGGUGGGUUUUUCACCGGCUCCGCCUCAUUUCACGCGGGUCAAACGUAUCAUUCGAUCCUUUCUUCCGUCAAGACGUUGUUCAGUUCAUUAGACCAUUAGUCUAACAAUGCAGAGUGUGUCCUUUAUGUGGCGUUUACAUUUGAAACGUAAUAGCCACGUAGCUCUAGCGUGAACUACGAACGCGAACCAGGCUACAAUUUGCAUGGCAUAUCUUUCUCUCUCUUCCCGCGAUGCGUACUGUCUUUGUACACGCAGGUGACAAUUCACCGCGUGUGUAUCAUCGUGCGAGAUUUAUCCUCGCGCGCGAUUAGCAUAAUGGUUGAUCAUUACGACGCCGUUGUCCAAUUUCCGUGGGCGUACAUUCGAAAUUGCACCAGCUACGGGCCAAAGGACAAAAGAUCGAGCUGAUAUUUGCUGCAGAUCGAAACUACGAUCGAGUAACGCUCCUUAUAAAUCUUGUAUAAAGCAUAUCCUGUUAACUCUACUUCGUUCUUUCCAGCCAAUCGUAUAUCUUUAACGUUGGAAAAAUAUCUCUAGUUCGAGCAAAGUACGAUAGAAUUAUUAUUGAUGCAUGAUUCUUCACUUCAAUCUUAUGUUAAACAUUUUUCGAAAAUUUUUAUUAAAAGUCUUUUCAGUUUGAGAGAUCAAAGGAAGAUUGAAAUAUACAAAUUUAACGAUCGCAGCAGGAUUAAUAUCAAAAGAACCAACGAGUCUUCUUUGUGCUGAAAUAGACAGAAAACGGGAGGAUUUAGAAAAAAAAAGAAAGAAACGUCUAAUUUAAAGAAAACAAAUCUCUACUUGUAUUUUCACAAUCUCGAAUUCAAGUUUUAAAAUCACAUCCCUAUCUCGAAGGAAGUACAUACCAGAAUUGUAAGUUCCUAUAAUUUCAAUAAAGAGCGACAAAUCGUUCUGAUCCUUUUUAUUUUGCUCUUGAAGCCGGUUCUCGCGUUAAACCCACUAUCAAAUUUCCACAAACUACCUUGAUACAAUCACAUCUUUAUAUAGUCAGACACGAUCCAGUUUCAACAUCCUGUCCAUAGCCGCGAACAUACCUACAAUUUACCGUAGUCUACCGAACGGGGGUCGUUAAGUCGUUAAUCGGCGGCCAUUACGAUCGUCGUCUUUGUUAUCGUCUUCGUCCUUCACAACGCGUCAACGAUUGGCUACCGAGAUCAGCACCGAUACAGGGCUCGGUCUCAUCGAAUCCACACUCGAAUGGAAACAACGAUCGUCCUGUAUUGCCUGGAAACCCAACGAUCGGCAUACCCGUGGGGGAACUGCAAAGACCAACAGAUAUGGUCGAAGCAGGUCUCGAUAUCGGUCUAUGAGUAUAGGUAAAUGAUCAAGUGGAUGACUACAGGCGUUUGAUUAACCGCGGUAGCCGAGAAAUGACCAACCAGCUACCAGGUCAUCGCGUCGUUCGCGCAAUUACAUCAAAUGGAUUUCCUAAUUGCGAUGCCGCGCUGCACCGCGAGAGAUUGAUCAUGUUCGACCGUGCCGCACAAACGGAACGCGUACGAUUCUGAUUCACCAGAAUGCGUCUUUUGUUUCACUACGUAAGUCUGCGACCGUUAAAGAAGACAUUGUAUCAUUUUGGUCUGAUUCAAUCCGAGUUCGGUAUACAUUUAUCGAUACAAUGUGAAUACGUUUCUAGCUUCUAUUGUCUAUAAAUGAAAAUACAGAGCUCGAUGAUCGAAGAUGAUAUCGGAAUGGAUAACGAGUACUACUCGAUACUGGAUAUACGUUACUCAAUUCGAUACAGACGAGACUCUAGAGGAUAGAUCGUCGAAUUUCUAUCGGAAUGCGCGAUUUGGUCACGUGCGUGAGGUAAUGAAUUCGGCAGAAUUUUGCGAAGCAACGCGAGUAAAAAACACGGAAACUGAAAAAAAAGAAAAGUAACGUACGUUCACAUACCCAUUAUUCUCAAUGUAUGUUUCUCGAUUCGCAUGGUCUAGGAGAAGAAUCAUUGAAUAUCUUUGGACGAACUAAAUUCGCGUGUCCUAAACGAACGAAUCACAAGAAUAGACUUUCGCGAACGCAGACACAGCAGCGUCCGAGGAGUGCGUUGGAACGUACGGGAAACAAGAAAACUCGCCACGAACGACAAGACGUGUAAUCGUCUUCAGAUCGGAGCCGGAGUAUAAUCUUAUCGUGGCGAUAGCGCGUACUUUAAUCCUCGCUUAUUCUAUUUCUGUACAGUGACUGCUCCCGCGUGUCGGUGGAAGCGAGAUGGCCUGGCAAGCACGAUGGAAAAGGGUGAAAAGGGUGGAAGGGGAGGGAAGAUUGCAGGGGCUGCGUCAGGGAGCUCACCGAAAGGCCUUGGAUCUGCAUAGCAAAUUGGCGAUCGAUAUACGGUCACCGUACGGCGAAUCGCGCGAGCCUCGAAUUAAAGCUUAUAACUUUCAUGUCCGGCGCAAUGUAUCAUUAUGCGCAGGGCGGCCCUGGUCUUGAUGCAGCUGCCCGCAUGCGGCGCGCAAACGCUGCACCGCCAGCAACCGGCGGGCGCGAAUAUGUGCAUAAAGCACGAUAAAUCGUCCGCAUAGAUACGGAUCGACGAAUGACAAGUCGCCCGAUGGGCGGCGCUCCGCGAUCCUUUUUACACCGUGGCGACCUCUCGAGAAGAUCGGUCCUCGAAGAAAUUGCGCAAUUGUCAGGAAACAGCGAGCGACACGUUUCUCUAACCUAGCUAAGACCCACGAGGGAGACGAAGAGGCGAGGAGGCCCACUUCGAGCGGACAAUUAGACCAUUAGAUCGAUGGAAUAUACCUAUGCUAUACAAUCGUGUUGUGCACGCCUGUCGCACGGAUCAACUAUGCACAUUGCAGUAACGUGGCGCACAAAAAACACUGUCGCGCAUAUGUUCCCCGGCGUAAACUGUAAUAAUAGCUCUUCGUUGGUAUUAAUGAUCAACGAGUUCGCGCAAGUUAGCUUGUAUUGAAUUGUGAAUUGAAAAAAAAAAAGAAAAAAAAAUAAACAGGGUUCGAGAGCGGUUUACGAAGUCGACGAGCAAAAACAAUAUUUUCUCGCAGCGGCACUACCGCCGUUCGAGGAACCACCUGGAAAGGAGCACUCGAGAAGGAUCGACAAGGAACGUUCUUGUUGUUCGGCGUGUUUGCAAACGAAACCGGACAGCCGUGACACCUGACACCUGGUAUACCGUCUCGCUUUUUCACCCGCCGAAAGAGAAACGCUGGACUUCGUCGCUUAUCGGUGUACACAGGUCCGAUUAAGACAAUAGAGCCUACGGUUCGCACGAUUUGCGUUCCAUUGGCCGCAGCACGCGUGAAUAAACUUUGAUUACACUCCAAGUCGAUGAAUACGUCACCAUCGGCGAUUUUCUUUCACGUGAUGGGCUUUAAUGCGAUUACUAACGUCAAUCGUAGAAAUGAGUAGAUAUAUUUCUUAUCCUAGACUGUAUGUUAUAUGCGUGAAUCAGUUACUGAGUGAAUUCAAUCUACCCGAUGUAAUAUCGAACGUAGAAAAGAUAAAAUAGUAUCGUUGGUGCGAUAAAAUCGGAAUAGAGAUGUUAUACAUUUGUGUAUUAUAUAUAGAAGAGCAUGGAAUAAUUCUUUUACGCACGUGAAAUUCUUAAACAAGGCAAUAUUUAGCGAAAUGCUCGCACGUUGGCAACAUCGACACAAAGGAUUAGCACGCGCGCGUCACGCUUAGCACGCGCAUCAGAGUCACGAGCCGUGAAGGGACACGCGUAAAAGAGAUUGGUCGUAGCAGAUCGUUCUACGUGGCUGGGCUAACGCGCGUGUUCGCUCCACUUCCGAUAUUAAGCCACCCUCGCACGUGACGCUGCUACCUACGCCCGAAGAUGGUUAACCCGCGACAAAAAAACUUUUUCAUCGACACGUACACGCAUGCACGAGUGCACAAGUGUAAACAGGCUAGCGGUGGAAAAAAGGCAAGCAAACGAACGAACGAACGAAAGAUCCACGGUUCCAUGACCACGUGAAACUUCCACGAGAGAGAAAAAAAAAAAAUACAUAGUCACCUCGGAACGUGAGUCGCGAGAAGUUUUGAUCUGUCGAUGAUAAAAUUAAACGAGCUUAUAAAUUCGUUGCGACGUUAUAGGACGGAAAAGGUCGUGCGUGAAAAGAGAUGUUCACGCGCGUCUGCCGUAAUACGCGCAUCCGCUCUACUUCCGACGCUUAGCGCCGCGACGCUUCAACGAGCUCGACGCGUGGCAUUAAACCGCCCUCGCACGUGACGAUGAGAGGAGAGUUGUGUGACACGGAUUAUAAAUGUGCCCGACAUUGUCGUCGAGGGUGAGAAAAAGCGGCUUUGAUAUCAAUUAUUGGUUAUCGUAUCGCUUCCACAACGUUUUUUACGUGAAAUUUAUUCUCCUUGGAUCGUUACUUUACUGGUGUUCGAUAUACCCAUAAAGGAUAGCGAAAAACAACGCUGGAAAUGAUUUCACGAACAACAAGUGAGGUUACACACAAAAGUUUGGCGAAAACCUGAACGCAUACAUUGAACUUUCUUGACAGCGUGAAACGAACGUUCUUGUGGCGGUACGAGCAUAGACACCUGAGGAUUCGUGUUGUAUCCUGCCGAAAAAGUGUGUAACUCGAUCCGGCAAAAAGAGCUGUCGUCGACUAUCCAUUGCCUCAUAAACCGAGACCAAACGAUAUCUCGCGAUUGAUCGCGACGUCUUCAGUAUCCAAACGAUGCGCAUCCUGUAAUAUUGUCUGAAAGAAAGAUACAACAAGGACCACAGGCAUGGAGAAGCGGUACGACGGUUUAAGGUGUACGAAAGCAAGAUGAAAAUCACGAGAGGCCGGUACAAAUGUGUGCACGCAUGUAUGCAUACGUAAAAUGUACGUUCGUAAAGCACAGUGGUUUAUGAAUACACGAAUUUACUGCUUAAUCAACCGAGGCGCUGAGGCAGCGCAAUUAAAACGCCAUUAAGCGGCCACAUAAAAAUUCUCGGUAAAAUUCGGUGAUAUCGGGUUACUGAAUUUCUCCUUCCAGGCUUCGGGGUUACGAUCUAUAGGAUGCACGGGUUUAUAGUCACCUGGAUCGUGUUAUAGUCAGCCGAGAAUUCUCGAAAUUGUAUAUGGGACACUUUCAGGUCCUCUCGUUUGGUUUCCUUGUUUGAAAUUUUCCUUGAUACACGCGACAGAAAUUUAUUAUUCUGUUAUUUAGUUACAUCAAUUAAAUCGGUUAAUUAAUUGUA